GGCUCUCAGGUGACUCUGGGGGGCUGUGGGAUAAACCUUGGGGUUCUCAGGUGAAUUUUGGGGCUCUCAGAUGAAUUUUGGGGCUCCAGGAUGAAUUUUGGGGCUCUCAGGUGACUCUGGGGUGACUCUGGGAUGAAUUUUGGGGCUGUGUGGUGAAUUCUGGUGUGAAUCUUGGGGCUCCAGGGUGACUCUGGGAUUAAUUUUGGUGCUCUGUGGUAAAUUUGGAGGUGAAUUUUGGAGCUCUCAGGUGAAUUCUGGGGAUUCCAGGAUGAAUUUUGGGGGUUCCAGGAUGAAUUCUGGGGUGAAUUUCGGGGCUCUCAGGUGAAUUUUGGGGCUCCCAGGUGACUCCAGGAUGAAUUUUGGGGCUUUCAGGUGAAUUUUCAGGUGAAUUUUGGGGCUCCAGGAUGAAUUUUGGGGCUGCGGGGGGACUCUGGUGUGAA